rnacentral:rRNA from 1 species
GCAUAUCAAUAAGCGGAGGAAAAGAAAACAACUGUGAUUCCCUUAGUAAUGGCGAAUGAAACGGGAACAGGGCAUCGCGGAACUGCAGGUCAUCUUGGCCUCGCGGAAUGUCGCGUUCGGGAGAGUCUUCUCGAGGACCGGACGGCCAGUCAAAGUCCAACUUGACAGUGGCCACUGCCCAUAGAGGGUGAUAGGCCCGUAAGGCGGCUGUCCGUUUUCGCUGACUUUUUCCCUAGAGUCGGGUUGCUUGGGAGUGCAGCCCAAAGUGCGAGGUAAACUCCUCGUAACCCUAAAUAUGACCCCGAGACCGAUAGCAAACAAGUACGGUGACGGAAGAUUGAAAAGAACUUUGAAGAGAGAGUUCAAUAGUACGUGAAACUGUGUGGUGGUAAACGGAGGGGUUCUCGAAGUUUCUGUGGGGAACUCAGCCUUGGUGUCGCGUGGCCCUGUUGUAUCUGAUCAGCAAUGACAGUGCAGCUUGUCCGACGUGUCUCUCGGGUGCAUUUCCCCCGCAGUUUACGGCAGGAACUGUUUGGAGCGCACCGAAGGCCUCGGGUGAAGUUGUUGGUUCUGCUGGCAGCCCUGGGUGUCCUGGCUUCGCACCAGACAGGUACGUGAGAGGACUCGUAUAGCGAGCAAUGCUCUGUUGCGGUUCUCAUCUCUCUGCCGAGUAGGUCGGCGGCCCCUCCGACCCGUCUUGAAACACGGACC